rnacentral:rRNA from 1 species
UACGUAGGGUGCAAGCGUUAAUCGGAAUUACUGGGCGUAAAGCGUGCGCAGGCGGUUUUGUAAGACUGACGUGAAAUCCCCGGGCUCAACCUGGGAAUGGCGUUGGUAACUGCAAGGCUAGAGUUUGGCAGAAGGGGGUAGAAUUCCACGUGUAGCAGUGAAAUGCGUAGAUAUGUGGAGGAACACCGAUGGCGAAGGCAGCCCCUGGGUCAAAACUGACGCUCAUGCACGAAAGCGUGGGGAGCAAACAGG